ACGAACAAAAAGAAAAUUCUUAGUUAGAUAGUGCAUACUGUCGUUGACUGUUGUAUAAUUAAACUAAACAUUUUCCCGAAAUUUUCCAAAGUUUUGUGGUGCCCUAAUACUUUUCUUAGUAUAUAGUUCUCUGAAUUUUUUCCCAUAGGUCUAACAUUUUCAUGUUACAGGCUUAUCAAGCUGUUAGGUUUUUGGACACAGAUGACCCAAGAAUUAUUUCAACUGGAGAGGCAUCACUUGUUGAGGUAUUGAAACAAAAUUUUCCCAAAGCAAAGCACAUUGAAGUGCAAGAUAUCUCAGAUGGCUGUGGUGCCAUGUACAAAAUCUAUGUGGAGACUCCAGAUUUCAAAGGUCUUAACACAAUCUAACAACAUAGGUUAUUCACCGAAGCCCUUAAACAACAGAUGAAGGAUAUGCAUGGUGUCAGAAUUCACACCAAGUUGCCAAGAGAUGAUGAAUGAACUCUGAAUGCUAGGACCAAAAUAAAAUUAUCAGUCAAGGUUUAAA